rnacentral:rRNA from 1 species
UGGUUUUAGCUUGGUAAAAUUGGUGGACAUUGGGGUCUGCGUAGUAGCAGGUCUUCGCCUUCGGGUGGGGAUGCGCGAUGCACUUAUCAAGUGUUGUGCGCCUCAGUGAUCAUACCGUCCAGCUCGCUAGUGCACUUUCUCAGAGUGUUCACCACGACCGGCGCCGCUGUCUGGCCUCUAUAGUUAAACCGGUUUUGCAUAGUCCUUGUGGCUUUGCUUAGUCGGGACGGCAGGUAGCUCGUUGACUUGCUUGUGGUUCGCUGCAAGUGUGGUUUUCGAGUGUAAUCAGCUGACUGUGGUGGUUCUGUGCAGUGUGUCGGAGACGGCGGCUUGAGGUGUGUGCAUGCGUAGUUGUUUUGCUGACUGGUUCGAGUUUGGUUAUUUGUUGCCUGUGCAUACAGGUCUGGUAGUAGCUCGAAUUUGUUCGGCUGGCGACUGCGUGUGUGGCAUUUUUCCAAGGGCCAAUAGUCUGUGGUGUAGUGGUAGACGAUCCACCUGACCCGUCUUGAAACACGGACCAAGGAGAGUAACAUGUGCGCGAGUCAUUGGGCUCUACGAAACCCAUAGGCGAAGUGAAAGUAAAGGUCUGACUCGGUCAGGCUAAGGUGAGAUCCAGUCGUUUCUCACGCGUGGUACUACCAAGCAUCGAGCGGCUGGCGCAUCACCGGCCCGUCCCAUGGCAGUUGUUUACCGACAGUUUUCGGUCGGGGCGGAGCAUGAGCGUACAUGUUGAGACCCGAAAGAUGGUGAACUAUGCUUGCGCAGGUUGAAGCCAGAGGAAACUCUGGUGGAGGACCGCAGCGAUUCUGACGUGCAAAUCGAUCGUCAAACGU